UGCUUAUGGAAGAAAGGAGAGGUUCUACGC
rnacentral:piRNA from 1 species